ensembl:lncRNA
CCCCGCAGAGCCUCACUGGGAGUGGCAUCAUGGCUGUGCUGAGCGCUAGCACUGCACGGGUACGCCAGAGCCCUGCCCUUCCCACCCACAUCCCUCCAUGGUCCACCUCCCUCAUAACCAGUGAGGGCAGCUGAUGGGACCAGCGUGGCUCCCUAAGCAGAGGAGGAAACAGGUCUUCACCACUGAAGCCCCCGAGCCAGCCUCCCUCCAGGAAUCAGGUCUUCCUCGGGGCUGUAGGGAAUCUUGAUGGAGAACUUGAGUGGGUCCAGCACGAAGAAUACAGAGAAUAGCAGCCCCGUGGAGCUCCCAUAUGGGAGCAGACCAGCCCCUGAGACGGCACAUAUCUCAGCAUGACUAACCCUCAGCACAACCCCAUGUGGUGGACCUUUACCAUUGAGCCACCAGGAGAGUCAGAAUUCCGAUGCUUUAAGAGCAGUACAUCUCAACCCAGGCUGGAUGCACAUCAGAAUUACCUGGAGUUAAAGAAAAAUGAUGCCAGUCCUGGCUGCACCCAGCAACUCUUGGUGUAACUGCAUGUAAGAAGCUUGGAAGUCUCUGCUCAAUCCUAAUAACAAGCAAAAAGUUAAACAGUCUGAAAAAAGAGCUCUUCUUAGAUUCAUCAGAGAAAGGGGCUCGCAGGGCAAACCACAGCGUCAAAU